UGCUGUAGCUGUGCCUAAUGGAGAGAAGUCUGUGUAAAAUGGGAGUCUUGGCAGUCGCACAGUGAGGAUGGGAACUGCACUGUUUAACCUGACCUGAAGGAGAGCAGUGGCUUUCAAUGAGAAGAUCUGACCAGGUGAUGUACAGCAAUACAGGAAGCAGGAAUUAUGAGAACAGCUGCUUUUGACUGGAGACAUUGGACAAGGCUGAAUUUGGACACCAGUUUGAGACAACCUUCACAUCAAUCACAAACCUCAGAAAGACAAAGAGAUGGUGCUGGCACACUGCCUUCAGAAACAAUCUACUCAGGGCAUGACAAUUUGGAUUUGGUGCCCAGGCUUAUAUGUAUAUAGGGAUGGAGACCAUGUAUAAAGAACUUGACUGAACAUAUGGAAGUUAUUAUUUCAUAAUUUUGAAAAUGAUGCUGUUGGACUGACUGCUGUACAGUCACAGGGAACUGUUUAAAGCACUGAAGGAUUAACCCUCCACGUUAAAAGAGAAACUUUAAUCGACGCAAGACGAUGUUCAUUGUGACAAAACCAAGGGCAAUGUAGCAACU
rnacentral:lncRNA from 1 species